AGUUUGAUCCUGGCUCAGGACGAACGCUGGCGGCGUGCUUAACACAUGCAAGUCGAGCGGAAAGGCCACUUCGGUGGUACUCGAGCGGCGAACGGGUGAGUAACACGUGAGUAAUCUGCCUCUGGCUUCGGGAUAGCCACCGGAAACGGUGAUUAAUACCGGAUACGACACGCUCUUGCAUGAGAUGUGUGUGGAAAGUUUUUUCGGCCAGGGAUGUGCUCGCGGCCUAUCAGCUUGUUGGUGGGGUAAUGGCCUACCAAGGCUUCGACGGGUAGCCGGCCUGAGAGGGUGACCGGCCACACUGGGACUGAGACACGGCCCAGACUCUACGGGAGGCAGCAGUGGGGAAUAUUGGACAAUGGGCGGAAGCCUGAUCCAGCAACGCCGCGUGAGGGAUGACGGCCUUCGGGUUGUAAACCUCUUUCAGCACAGACGAAGCGCAAGUGACGGUAUGUGCAGAAGAAGGACCGGCCAACUACGUGCCAGCAGCCGCGGUAAUACGUAGGGUCCGAGCGUUGUCCGGAAUUAUUGGGCGUAAAGGGCUCGUAGGCGGUUUGUCGCGUCGGGAGUGAAAACACCGGGCUUAACUCGGUGCUUGCUUUCGAUACGGGCAGACUAGAGGCAUUCAGGGGAGAACGGAAUUCCUGGUGUAGCGGUGAAAUGCGCAGAUAUCAGGAGGAACACCGGUGGCGAAGGCGGUUCUCUGGGAAUGUCCUGACGCUGAG
rnacentral:rRNA from 1 species